AUUGAACGCUGGCGGCAUGCUUUACACAUGCAAGUCGAACGGCAGCGCGGGCUUCGGCCUGGCGGCGAGUGGCGAACGGGUGAGUAAUGCAUCGGAACGUGCCCAGUAGUGGGGGAUAGCCCGGCGAAAGCCGGAUUAAUACCGCAUACGACCUGAGGGUGAAAGCGGGGGACCGAAAGGCCUCGCGCUAUUGGAGCGGCCGAUGUCGGAUUAGCUAGUUGGUGGGGUAAAGGCUUACCAAGGCGACGAUCCGUAGCUGGUCUGAGAGGACGACCAGCCACACUGGGACUGAGACACGGCCCAGACUCCUACGGGAGGCAGCAGUGGGGAAUUUUGGACAAUGGGGGCAACCCUGAUCCAGCCAUGCCGCGUGCGGGAAGAAGGCCUUCGGGUUGUAAACCGCUUUUGUUAGGGAAGAAAUCCUUUGGGCUAAUACCCCGGGGGGAUGACGGUACCGGAAGAAUAAGCACCGGCUAACUACGUG
rnacentral:rRNA from 1 species